rnacentral:rRNA from 1 species
GGAUAACUUACCCUUAGGACUGGGAUAACUCUGGGAAACUGGGGAUAAUACUGGAUAUUAGGCUAUGCCUGGAAUGGUUUGCCUUUGAAAUGUUUUUUCGCCUAAGGAUAGGUCUGCGGCUGAUUAGGUCGUUGGUGGGGUAAUGGCCCACCAAGCCGAUGAUCGGUACGGGUUGUGAGAGCAAGGGCCCGGAGAUGGAACCUGAGACAAGGUUCCAGACCCUACGGGGUGCAGCAGGCGCGAAACCUCCGCAAUGUACGAAAGUGCGACGGGGGGAUCCCAAGUGUUAUGCUUUUUUGUAUGACUUUUCAUUAGUGUAAAAAGCUUUUAGAAUAAGAGCUGGGCAAGACCGGUGCCAGCCGCCGCGGUAACACCGGCAGCUCGAGUGGUAGCUGUUUUUAUUGGGCCUAAAGCGUUCGUAGCCGGUUUGAUAAGUCUUUGGUGAAAGCUUGUAGCUUAACUAUAAGAAUUGCUGGAGAUACUAUUAGACUUGAAGUCGGGAGAGGUUAGAGGUACUACCGGGGUAGGGGUGAAAUCCUAUAAUCCUG